GAUUAAGGCCUUCGGGUUGUAAAGCUCUGUUGUAAGGGAAGAAAAAUCAGUAGAGGAAAUGAUACUGAUCAGACGGUACCUUACCAGAAAGCCACGGCUAACUACGUGCCAGCAGCCGCGGUAAUACGUAGGUGGCAAGCGUUAUCCGGAAUUAUUGGGCGUAAAGGGUGCGUAGGCGGUUUAUUAAGUCUAUGGUGAAAGUGCGGGGCUCAACCCCGUAUGGCCAUAGAAACUGAUAGACUAGAGUGCAGGAGAGGGCAAUGGAAUUCCAUGUGUAGCGGUAAAAUGCGUAGAUAUAUGGAGGAACACCAGUGGCGAAGGCGGUUGCCUGGCCUGUAACUGACGCUGAAGCACGAAAGCGUGGGGAGCAAAUAGGAUUAGAUACCCUAGUAGUCCACGCCGUAAACGAUGAAUACUAAGUGUUGGAGAAAUUCAGUGCUGCAGUUAACGCAAUAAGUAUUCCGCCUGGGGAGUAUGCACGCAAGUGUGAAACUCAAAGGAAUUGACGGGACCCCGCACAAGCGGUGGAUUAUGUUGUUUAAUUCGACGCACGCGAAGAACCUUACCAGGCCUUGACAUACUCAGCAAAACCCUAGAGAUAGGGUGGAGGUUUCUGGGAUACAGGUGGUGCAUGGUUGUCGUCAGCUCGUGUCGUGAGACGUUGGGUUAAGUCCCGCAACGAGCGCAACCCUUGUCUUUAGUUACCAUCAUUCAGUUGGGGACUCUAGAGAGACUGCCGGUGAUAAACCGGAGGAAGGUGGGGAUGACGUCAAAUCAUCAUGCCCCUUAUGGCCUGGGCUACAAACGUAAUACAAUGGCGUAUACAAAGGGAUGCGAAAGGGUGACCUGGAGCAAAACUCACAAAGUACGUCUCAGUUCAGAUUGGAGUCUGCAACUCGACUCCAUGAAGGCGGAAUCGCUAGUAAUCGCGGAUCAGCAUGCCGCGGUGA
rnacentral:rRNA from 1 species